GUGGCGCGUCCGGCCCGCCCGCUCGAGAGCGUCCGGAGUCCCCACCCGGCUUAUCUUGGGCGCCCAGGCUCAGCGUCGCGCUCUGGCCCGCGCCCUCCCGCGGACUGUCCCUGGCGGCGGUCUGUGGGGAAGAUGGAGCUCACCCUACCGCCGAGCAGAAGCGUCCCGGGCUGUCAAGCCGCGCCCGAAAGCCAGCUCUCCUCGAGCUUCCGGCAGCCUGGAGUGAGGUCACACAGAGAAACCCUGUCUGCGGAAGAGAAGAAAGAAGUAGCAGCGGCAAUGGAGCAGUCCUGCGAUGACCUGCUCCCACCCCAGAGUGGGUGAGGAAACCUCAGGCGUCUCUGGCUUCUGCAGCUGAUCCUGCUGGCCCUUGGUGGGACAUUGCCCUCAGCUGUGCUAACUGGUCUUUGUUUUGUUGUGUGGCCUGGCAGGCCAGGAAUUCUUUAAGUUGAGCAGACUGACUUUGAACUCACAGAGACCCACCUGCCUGCUGGUAUUAAAGCCUCGCACCACCAUGCUGGGCUGCUACUCACCUUUGCUCUCUUCCCUCCACCCUGGCCUUGCCCUUGGCACCGUCAUUUCCCUUAAUCCAGACCGUGGAAUUGAAUGUUUCUUUUUAAACCUACCGUGUAUCUCACGAGGAGGUCAGGUCCUGAUCCCAAACACCUGGCUUGUUUGGCGGGGUUACACACUGCUCAUCCCGGAGGACAGGCUCCUCCCACCCACCCACCAGGUGGAGGGAGAAUGAGAAACCCUGUGUUUGUAAAGCAUCAUUACCCUGCGGUAAGCUGCCAGACCGCAGUGGGAGGGUGGAGCACAUCGGUCCAAUGCUGCCAGUACUGAGGCCCUGACGCCAUCCCCAGCACCACUACAUAAUGACAUAAUGACCACUACUGUAUUAUGUCUUCACUCUGGGUGAAGAGAAGGCCAAGUCCCUCGUUAAUAUUUGGCACUUAAAUUUACCUCCCAUGAUUUCUACACCCCUAUCACUAAACUACUCCCUAUCCUUUGACCCUUUGGCAGCAGUGGAGUCAGAGUAGAGAAGGGGAAAGAGAGGUAGUGGGCUGGUGUCUAGGGAAGCCCUACUGUGUGCCACUGCGUCCCUUAUCUCAGUGAACACACUGCCAUCUCCAUGUGUACUGUGAGAAAACAGACUCAGAGACGUUAACAAAACUUCCCAGGACCACAUUUAGCACAAAAAUACUAUGAUAGAAACUCUAGCCUGAGAUCUGAGGAAGCCAAGGACCCCAAAACAUGUUUACUCCACCGUGCACUCACCUGGUUCCUACCCACUGACAUCUGUGGGCACACGUCACAUCUGGUACCAGAUGUUCCAGGUGGGCUCUCCCAGGUCGUCAGAAAGUAGUGUCCGCAUUUGGGGACCCCAUACAUUGGACUCACCUGGCCCUCACCUCUGGGUUCCUUCCUCCUGACUCUUACCUCAGCUUCUUUCUGUCCCCCAUCCUGGCUCAUGGGGAGAUUGACUGCCUUCCCUUCCAGGCACUGCCUCCGAAACCCCACAUUUAGCGCCGAGCACUGUAAUCUUCGUACUAUUUAUAGUACAAUACUCAGUGUGAUUAAAUCUAUCUCAAACA